GGGGAUGUGAAUCCUCCCUUUGUCCCGCGUCCUGACGCUGUCUACGCUUCCCACACGUUAGUCAUCAACAUCAUCUGCUCCUGACAUCCAGUCAUCGACGUCGUCAUGACUGGAUGCCAGAAGCAGAUGGUCCUUCCUCUGAGUGUCGUUAGAAGGUCAACUGUCCACAACUGUCAACUGUGCCUACGUCAUUCAUCUCCCUUCAUCUCAUCACAUAGACAUUUUAUUAUCUCACAUCACCACAAGAAGGGGGCACCUCACACAUCCUGAACAUCAAUAAUCUCUGAGGAAUGUAUGUACAGGACAGUAUUUGUAAAGCAGCCCUCCCAUUUUCUGUAAGAUUGAUCUGUCUAGUACUUCAAGAUGACUUCUUAUAGGCCAAACUAUUAUAACAAGUCAAGGGUUAACAAACUACCAGCAGAUCUGGUAAAUACAGUUUUAUUAGAAAACAGCUACAUGGAUUCAUUUAUGUAUUGUGUAUGGCUACUUACACCAAAACAGCAGAGUUGAGCGACUGCAACAGACGUGGUACAGCCCACAAAGCUGAAGAUAUUUACUAUCUGACCCUUUAUAUAAAAAGUUUGCCGACCAUUAUAAUAAACCAUGGCAGUCUUUUAUUAAGCA